AGCGAACGCUGGCGGCAGGCCUAACACAUGCAAGUCGAACGAACUCUUCGGAGUUAGUGGCGGACGGGUGAGUAACACGUGGGAACGUGCCUUUAGGUUCGGAAUAACUCAGGGAAACUUGUGCUAAUACCGAAUGUGCCCUUCGGGGGAAAGAUUUAUCGCCUUUAGAGCGGCCCGCGUCUGUUUAGCUAGUUGGUGAGGUAAAGGCUCACCAAGGCGACGAUCAGUAGCUGGUCUGAGAGGAUGAGCAGCCACAUUGGGACUGAGAAACGGCCCAAACUCCUACGGGAGGCAGCAGUGGGGAAUCUUGCGAAAUGGGGGAAGGCAUGACGCAGCCAGGCCGGGUGAAUGAUGAAGGUCUGAGGAUAGAAAAAUUCCUUCACCGGGGACGAUAAUGACGGUACCCGAAGAAGAAGCCCCGGCUAACUUCGUG
rnacentral:rRNA from 1 species